CACGUAGGGUGCGAGCGUUGUCCGGAAUUAUUGGGCGUAAAGAGCUCGUAGGCGGUGUGUCGCGUCGGCCGUGAAAACCUGCAGCUUAACUGUGGGCUUGCGGUCGAUACGGGCAUCACUGGAGUUCGGCAGGGGAGACUGGAAUUCCUGGUGUAGCGGUGAAAUGCGCAGAUAUCAGGAGGAACACCGGUGGCGAAGGCGGGUCUCUGGUCCUUAACUGACGCUGAGGCGCGAAAGCAUGGGGAGCGAACGGG
rnacentral:rRNA from 1 species